rnacentral:rRNA from 1 species
UGGGGAAUAUUGCACAAUGGGCGCAAGCCUGAUGCAGCCAUGCCGCGUGUGUGAAGAAGGCCUUCGGGUUGUAAAGCACUUUCAGCGAGGAGGAAGGGUUCAGUGUUAAUAGCACUGUUCAUUGACGUUACUCGCAGAAGAAGCACCGGCUAACUCCGUGCCAGCAGCCGCGGUAAUACGGAGGGUGCAAGCGUUAAUCGGAAUUACUGGGCGUAAAGCGCACGCAGGCGGUUUGUUAAGUCAGAUGUGAAAUCCCCGCGCUUAACGUGGGAACUGCAUUUGAAACUGGCAAGCUAGAGUCUUGUAGAGGGGGGUGAGAAUUCCAGGUGUAGCGGUGAAAUGCGUAGAGAUCUGGAGGAAUACCGGUGGCGAAGGCGGCCCCCUGGACAAAGACUGACGCUCAGGUGCGAAAGCGUGGGGAGCAAAACAGGAUUAGAUACCCUGGUAGUCCACGCUGUAAACGAUGUCGACUUGGAGGUUGUGCCCUUGAGGCGUGGCUUCCGGAGCUAACGCGUUAAGUCGACCGCCUGGGGGAGUACGGCCGCAAGGUUAAAAC